UACGUAGGGCGCAAGCGUUGUCCGGAAUUAUUGGGCGUAAAGAGCUCGUAGGCGGUUUUGUCGCGUCGGCUGUGAAAACCUGGGGGCUCAACCCCGGGCCUGCAGCCGAUACGGGCAAACUAGAAUUCGGUAGGGGAGGACUGGAAUUCCUGGUGUGAGACAGUGAAAUGACGUAGAUAUCGAGAGGAACACCAGUGGCGAAGGCGAGUCCCUGGACAGGUCCUGACGCUGAGGCACGAAAGCUAGGGGGGAGCAAAACAGG
rnacentral:rRNA from 1 species